rnacentral:rRNA from 1 species
GAUUUCGGUAGAAUUCUUAGUGGCGAACGGGUGAGUAACGCGUAGGCAACCUACCCUUUAGACGGGGACAACAUUCCGAAAGGAGUGCUAAUACCGGAUGUGAUCAUCGUGCCGCAUGGCAGGAUGAAGAAAGAUGGCCUCUACAAGUAAGCUAUCGCUAAAGGAUGGGCCUGCGUCUGAUUAGCUAGUUGGUAGUGUAACGGACUACCAAGGCGAUGAUCAGUAGCCGGUCUGAGAGGAUGAACGGCCACAUUGGGACUGAGACACGGCCCAAACUCCUACGGGAGGCAGCAGUGGGGAAUCUUCCGCAAUGGACGAAAGUCUGACGGAGCAACGCCGCGUGAGUGAUGAAGGAUUUCGGUCUGUAAAGCUCUGUUGUUUAUGACGAACGUGCAGUGUGUGAACAAUGCAUUGCAAUGACGGUAGUAAACGAGGAAGCCACGGCUAACUACGUGCCAGCAGCCGCGGUAAUACGUAGGUGGCGAGCGUUGUCCGGAAUUAUUGGGCGUAAAGAGCAUGUAGGCGGCUUAAUAAGUCGAGCGUGAAAAUGCGGGGCUCAACCCCGUAUGGCGCUGGAAACUGUUAGGCUUGAGUGCAGGAGAGGAAAGGGGAAUUCCCAGUGUAGCGGUGAAAUGCGUAGAUAUUGGGAGGAACACCAGUGGCGAAGGCGCCUUUCUGGACUGUGUCUGACGCUGAGAUGCGAAAGCCAGGGUAGCGAACGGGAUUAGAUACCCCGGUAGUCCUGGCCGUAAACGAUGGGUAAUGGGUGUAGGAGGUAUCGACCCCUUCUGUGCUGGAGU